GGAAAAGAAACCAACAGGGAUUGCCUUAGUAGCGGCGAGUGAAGCGGCAAAAGCUCAAAUUUGAAAUCUGGCACUUUCAGUGUCCGAGUUGUAAUUUGAAGAAGGUAUCUUUGGGUCUGGCUCUUGUCUAUGUUUCUUGGAACAGAACGUCACAGAGGGUGAGAAUCCCGUGCGAUGAGAUGUCCCAGACCUAUGUAAAGUUCCUUCGAAGAGUCGAGUUGUUUGGGAAUGCAGCUCUAAGUGGGUGGUAAAUUCCAUCUAAAGCUAAAUAUUGGCGAGAGACCGAUAGCGAACAAGUACAGUGAUGGAAAGAUGAAAAGAACUUUGAAAAGAGAGUGAAAAAGUACGUGAAAUUGUUGAAAGGGAAGGGCUUGAGAUCAGACUUGGUAUUUUGUAUGUUACUCUCUCGGGGGUGGCCUCUACAGUUUACCGGGCCAGCAUCAGUUUGAGCGGUAGGAUAAGUGCAAAGAAAUGUGGCACUGCUUCGGUAGUGUGUUAUAGUCUUUGUCGAUACUGCCAGCUUAGACUGAGGACUGCGGCUUCGGCCUAGGAUGUUGGCAUAAUGAUCUUAAGUCGCCCGUCUU
rnacentral:rRNA from 1 species